GAUGAACGCUGGCUACAGGCUUGACACAUGCAAGUCGAGGGGAAACGACGGGGAAGCUUGCUUCCCCGGGCGUCGACCGGCGCACGGGUGAGUAACGCGUAUCCAACCUGCCUCUGACUGAGGGAUAACCCGUCGAAAGUCGGCCUAAUACCUCAUGGCAUCGUCUGCGGGCAUCCAACGACGAUUAAAGAUUUCAUCGGUCAGAGAUGGGGAUGCGUCUGAUUAGCUUGUUGGCGGGGUAACGGCCCACCAAGGCGACGAUCAGUAGGGGUUCUGAGAGGAAGGUCCCCCACAUUGGAACUGAGACACGGUCCAAACUCCUACGGGAGGCAGCAGUGAGGAAUAUUGGUCAAUGGGCGAGAGCCUGAACCAGCCAAGUAGCGUGCAGGAUGACGGCCCUAUGGGUUGUAAACUGCUUUUAUGCGGGGAUAAAGUGAGGGACGUGUCCUUCAUUGCAGGUACCGCAUGAAUAAGGACCGGCUAAUUCCGUG
rnacentral:rRNA from 1 species